rnacentral:rRNA from 1 species
CCUACGGGCGGCAGCAGUAGGGAAUAUUGCUCAAUGGGGGAAACCCUGAAGCAGCAACGCCGCGUGGAGGAUGAAGGUUUUCGGAUUGUAAACUCCUUUUGUUAGAGAAGAUAAUGACGGUAUCUAACGAAUAAGCACCGGCUAACUCCGUGCCAGCAGCCGCGGUAAUACGGAGGGUGCAAGCGUUACUCGGAAUCACGGGGCGUAAAGAGCGCGUAGGCGGGAUAGCAAGUCAGAUGUGAAAUCCUAUGGCUUAACCAUAGAACUGCAUUUGAAACUGUUAUUCUAGAGUAUGGGAGAGGUAGGUGGAAUUCUUGGUGUAGGGGUAAAAUGCGUAGAGAGCAAGAGGAAUACUCAUUGCGAAGGCGACCUGCUAGAACAUAACUGACGCUGAUGCGCGAAAGCGUGGGGAGCAAACAGGAUUAGAUACCCGAGUAGUC